AAUAAAAUAAAGAAUUUGCAUUAAGAAAAUGAAGUUUAUUUUAGAAUAAAGUAUCUUUGCAUCAUUUUCUUAACGGUUUGCCCCAAAUUCUUAAUGUAAACAAUCUUGAUGUUUCUUCUCCUUUUUCUUCUUCUUCUUCUUCGUUGUGUGUGUGUGUGUGUGUGUGUGUGUGAGAGAGAGAGAGGAGAGAAGAGAGAGAGGAGUCUAUUUGUUUCUUUAUUGUAAAGAGUGGGCAGAUGCGUUUAAUUUGUCCUGAAAAUAAUGCAAUACAAUUAAAGUUCAGAAAAUCUUCUUGCUUUUUUUUUUUUGGCUAAGGUGAAAUAAUGAUCUGGGAAUAUUCUUGAAUAUUCCUAAAAUUCACCGAACAAUAACCAGAAAAUCUAUCUAUAUAACCACCAAGUCUGUUGUCCCUCAAAGUUUGAUUUUCUUCACAAUAUUCUAAUUGCAUUAUGCCUGGACUGGUGUCAGAUGGUCCAUAGGGGGCAGUGUUUGCCAUUACACAGAGUUCUGGUUCAAAGAGCCAUUCGAUGGCUGUUCUGUUAGUCUUAUACAUCUAGUGGCUUGAUGCACAUUUGCAAAAACCUCUGAAGUUAAGAAAGUUAUUCAUAAUUGCCUUAACUGAGUUUUGUAGCAGCUGGCUUCCAUGGCCUAAUUUCUCCUCCUCUAGGAUUUUGCAGGUAGUGACGUUUUAUCUUGUUUAUAGACAUUAUGUGUUGUUGUGACGAUAUUUAAAUGCACACACCCCUCAGGAUAUUGAAUUCCUGAUCUGAAGUGUUCCUGAGAAAAGGGUUGUCACUUUGUUCUACUUCGAACUCGGCCAGAUUGUGUGUAGAUCCUUUAUGCAAAAGUAUCAAGAGAAAAAAAAUAAAAAAAUAAUAAUACUAUCUGUUUUAAUGUUAUCAGAAAGAAAAAAAGAUAAUUAAGUACUUGAUACAAACUGACAUUUUAGCAAAGGCUAGUUUUCCAGUCCAAUACACAUGGUGUUCCUCAAAGCUCUGUCCUUGGACCAUCUUUGAUUGUGUAAUCUGUAAUUGUAGAGAGGGCAUUGUGCAUGCACAAGUUAAUUAUUUGAAAAUGCAUUAAACUGGAUCACGUCAAAUUGAAUAUUGCAGCCCAGUUCAGUGAUGGACAUGUAUGGUGGUGCACACAAUUUCUUUAUUUUAUGCAGCUCCUGUGUUAGCAAAUGUAAGAUCAAGCUUCACAUUGACAUAAAAUGACCACAAUCUAAACCUUAUUGUGAUUCACCUUGUCUGACUCCACGUUGAGAGUUCUUGAAAAAAAGAAAAGAAAAUUGUCCCAUCCUUUUUGUUUUAAUUGUAUAUAGAAAUUAAGUACACACAUUUAAAUGACGUUUGCAGCACAGUUUCCAUGUGAUAUUGAGUGUGUCUCUUUUAAUUGUGGGUCACAAUCAAAACAAUGGCAUCAGUGGAGCCUUUGCAAUAAUAAUAGUCAGCGUGAUUACAGUGACACAUGUCAUGUCCAUCUAUAUUGAGUGCAUUUUGCUUUUUGUUUGUUUCCUGCUGGAAACAGACAAGCACCCUCAACACCACACACACACAAACAUAUUCAGACACACACCAGAAAAGCAUGUUUGGUUUGUAUUGAUUGGUAGGUAUUGAUAAUCAUUGCUGCAAUCAUACCAUGCUGGAGGGAGGAUGUUUUCAGUGCACUUGAAGUUUGCUUUCUUGUCUAAUGUUUCUUGAUUUCUUGCAUGCUGCGGUUAUUCUAUUUAAGUUUUUUUUUUCUUUUUUCUAAGAGUUUUUACUCUCCUUCCCAACUUUGUAUAGACAGACAGUUGUGGUAAGUGUAACGGGUGGAUAAUGCUGGUGUGUUCUCCUGCAGUGAAUGCUUGUCAGGCAGGCAGUAAUACAGUACAUUACUGUAGGUGCUGAUUCAGACUUUAUGAUGUCAUCUCUGAAAGGGUGACUUUUAAUGACAUUUAACGCAAAAUGUAACAUAUGUGAAUAAAAUAUACAGAUGCUCUGA